GUAGGUGGCAAGCGUUGUCCGGAAUUAUUGGGCGUAAAGCGCGCGCAGGCGGUUCUUUAAGUCUGAUGUGAAAGCCCACGGCUCAACCGUGGAGGGUCAUUGGAAACUGGAGAACUUGAGUACAGAAGAGGAAAGCGGAAUUCCACGUGUAGCGGUGAAAUGCGUAGAGAUGUGGAGGAACACCGGUGGCGAAGGCGGCUUUCUGGUCUGUAACUGACGCUGAGGCGCGAAAGCGUGGGGAGCAAACAGGGAUUAGAUACCCUGGUAGUCCACGCCGUAAACGAUGAGUGCUAAGUGUUAGGGGGUUUCCGCCCCCUUAGUGCUGCAGCUAACGCAUUAAGCACUCCGCCUGGGGAUACGGCCGCAAGGCUG
rnacentral:rRNA from 1 species